ensembl:lncRNA
GUGUGUUAUGGGUUGCAGUGAGGGAGGACACACACCAUGAGGAACCGUCGGGGCAUCUCAGUUAGAGUUGUGAGGUUAUCCGGGAGAGGGUUUAAGGAAGUGAGGCUUUACUCUGGAUUAGAUGCUGUCAGGAAGUGGGGGUAAUUCUCUGAUUGGGCAUCUCCAGAAUUCUUGCCUGAAAGGAGGGAACAGUAGACUGAGGCUGAAACUGUAGUUGGUAAAGAAGCUGAAGCCCCUCAUUAGCCAGCAUAGGGGAUGUUUGCUCAUUUUUUGUGGUUUGGACAAUGUUCACGUUGUAUCUGUGUUCAGAUAUAAUUAAGGAUUGGUCUUGUUUUUUGUCUUGAUCUAUCACGGUCACCGAAUGGCCUCGUCUGAUGUUUGUAUUCUGUGAAAUUAUGUUCCACAGAGGCCAGGCUGUCAUCUAGUAACAUUACAGCCCAGCUGAUUGUGCCAGGUCCAGCUUCCAAAUGUCAGAAGCUGCUUUCCCUUUCUCAAGUGUUUUGAGUUCUCUGCACCUGUAAAUUGAGGGAACUGGAUGACCUAGAAAUCUUUCCAUUUCCAAGGACCAAGUUCUGACAGAAAUUUGUAUGCAUGCAGGACACAGUGUAAGUUCUGUGCAGGUAGAGUUUGAAGUUUCAUUGUCCUUAUCUAGUGCUUUCCACCAAGGAAACUGAAAAAGAAGUGAUAGGAAGGAGGAGCACAGAAUUGGAAAGUUACUACCACUGACUUGCUGUCUGAAUUUUGCAAGACCCUUUCCCUUUUCUGGGCCUUGGGACAUUCAUUAGUAAAACAAAGGGGUUGGAAUAAACGACCUCUGUUUCAGUUACCUAUUGCAUCAUAAUAAAUCACCCCAAGACUUAGUAGCUUAAAAUAAAAGUGGUUUAUUAUUUUUUACAAUUGUGUGAGUUGACCGGACUCAGCUGGGCCCACAUAGUAUAAGCUGAGAUUACUCAUGGGACUCCAGUCAGCUGGGAGCUCAUCAAAGCAGCUUCUCAUCUUCUAAGGCCUCUCUUCUCCACCUGGCUUCUUAUCAUGCAAACUUCUGCAUGGCAACUAGCUUCAAGAGGACAAGCUUCAAUGAGCAAAUGCUUGUCAAACCUUUGGUUGCACUACACUCGUUAACGUCCCAUUAUCCAAAGCAAGUUAUAUCGUCAAGCCCAGAGUCAAUGUAAGAAGGGACUAGACAAGCUUAUGAGUACAGAGAGUCAGGGUUCAUUAGAGGCCACCAAUGUAACAGCCAACCAAGACCUCUAAGGUCCCAGUACUCGCCACAGAACUUAGCACGUGUGGUUAGGGUAAGAGUCACAAGCUGAAUAUGAUCCCCUAACGUUCAUUCUACACCAUCUAUUUUAUCAUUUUAAGAUGUGACAGUUUCACAUUUUAAAAUCUGAAUUUCCAGCUUCUCAUGAAAAAUUCAACUCACUAUACUGGAUCUGAAUGGCAACAAUAUACAAGGGUUAAGUAGCAACUGCCUUCUUUAUACGAAGCAUGUACUCUAUAGAUUUCCUCUGUCACCAUCACUCCCUGUUUGUCAUAUAUGGGUGCUUCCCUCAUUUAAGUUGUGUGCCUAACCAUGUAGAUAUUUGAGUUUGCAACCCUUGGCGUUGGAUCUGUACUGGAGAUAACUCCAGGUUUUUGUCCUUUUAUUAAAACCAUAUCCCACCUUCAGAGGAAAAAGUACUAAUAUUAUUGGGUCAGAUUCUAGGAGUGCAGUGAGAUUAUGAAGUCAUGCAUGUGAUAGAAGUUUUAACCAAGCUAGCUGAGAGGCAACCAAGGCUGAUGAACCAAGGCUUAGCACUUUGCUCUCUCCUCUUCUCCAACAAGAACUCAGUUUUUCAGAUAGCUCUGCACUGGGGUUUACAAGACAUCAUAACAAUGAAGUGGAACAGAUCACUAUGUAAUUUUUAACAUAAUAACUUGGAAAGAAUCCAAAGAAGUUGUAUAACAUGGCUGUGAAACAACUUUCAUUCUCAUAUGGACAAGUCUUCUCAGAACUAACAUUGGAAAACCGAGACCUAAAAAUAAACUCGAUGCUGAAUCUUGUCUCAUUCCAGCAACAAGUAAUAUUCAUGCACGGAUAUGCAAACUUUUUUUAAUUAUUUGCUGAUUUAAAGAUGUAGUUCCAAUAAAAUUCUGUGUUUAUGUUUAAU